GAGGAGACUGAUAGCAGCUUUCCAUUAACUGCUGCUCCUAUCAACAUGUUUCCUGCAGAUAUUAAGGAGAAGCUGAUUAUUAAAGAAGAAGUUUCUUUAGACCACAUACCUCCUGCCGACAUGCGUGACCCAAAGCCCCCCAUCAUAAAGGAGGAACAGGAGGGAGUCUACAUCAGUCUGCCAGCAGAGCAGCUUGAUGGGAAGGAGCUUUAUCCAGACCAGAUUAAAGGCAGAGAGCUUCCAGAAGAGAAUGAA